rnacentral:rRNA from 1 species
UACGUAGGGGGCUAGCGUUGUCCGGAAUCAUUGGGCGUAAAGAGCGUGUAGGCGGUCCGGUAAGUCUGCUGUGAAAGUCGGGGGCUCAACCCUCGAAUGCCGGUGGAUACUGUCGGGCUAGAGUGCGGAAGAGGCGAGUGGAAUCCGUGGUGUAGCGGUGAAAUGCGCAGAUAGCAGGAGGAACACCAUGGCGAAGGCAGCUCGCUGGGACGGUACUGAC